UAGCGUUCAAAAUGUCUAUACUCCCGAGGCUACAAUAUUUGUUUCGGACUUUACCACUUACCCUUCCCAUGUCAUUUUUUAGAACAGUACAAAAAGAUCUAUUAAAAUUUAUUUGGACCUGGGGGAAACCUAGAGUGGCACUGAAAAAUCUUAAUAGCUCCGUUGCAUGAGGGAGGCCUGGUGGUCCCUGACGUUAAAAAAUAUUAUCAUGCAUCAAUCUUAGCCUCU